AACUGGAUGGCUCAGUUGGCAGCACAUGAGGCUCUUCAUCUCAGGGCUGUGGGUUUGAGCCCCACAUUGGGUA